GCACUGGUGGUUCAGUGGUAGAAUUUUCAUCUUCCACGUGGGAGACCCAGGUUUGAUUCCCAGCCGGUGCA
rnacentral:tRNA from 1 species